CCCUUAGAUGUUCUGGGCUGCACGCGUGCUACACUGAUAUUGCCAAUAUGUCAUUCUUAUCCGAAAUGGAUUGGGUAAUCAAGUAAUGAAAUUUCAUGCUUGGAAUCGGUAAUUGCAAUUUUAUCGUGAACGAGGAAUUCCUAGUAAGCACUAGUCAUCAGCUAAUAUUGAUUAUGUCCCUGCCCUUUGUACACACCGCCCGUCGCUACUACUGAUUGGGUGUUCAAGUGAGAUGCUUAGACCCUUGUUGCAUGGUUCAUUAUUGUGCUCCGAAAGGAAAAAGUUUCAAGCUUGAGUGUCUAGAGGAAGUAAAAGUCGUAACA
rnacentral:rRNA from 1 species